rnacentral:snoRNA from 1 species
AUCCUAUGAUGAGGACAAGAAACGAUAUAUUCCUGCAGCCUUUCCCUAGCUUCUAGGAUCGUCUCAUCUCUUGUUUGCAGGAAGCUAGAUAUUUUUCCACGAAGGGC